AUUGAACGCUGGCGGAAUGCUUUACACAUGCAAGUCGAACGGCAGCACGGGGCAACCUGGUGGCGAGUGGCGAACGGGUGAGUAAUACAUCGGAACGUGCCCGAUCGUGGGGGAUAACUAUCCGAAAGGAUAGCUAAUACCGCAUACGACCUGAGGGUGAAAGCGGGGGACCGAAAGGCCUCGCGCGAUUGGAGCGGCCGAUAUCGGAUUAGCUAGUUGGUGAGGUAAAGGCUCACCAAGGCGACGAUCCGUAGCUGGUCUGAGAGGACGACCAGCCACACUGGAACUGAGACACGGUCCAGACUCCUACGGGAGGCAGCAGUGGGGAAUUUUGGACAAUGGGGGCAACCCUGAUCCAGCCAUUCCGCGUGAGUGAAGAAGGCCUUCGGGUUGUAAAGCUCUUUCGGCAGGAACGAAACGGUGGUCCCUAAUACGGGCUACUAAUGACGGUACCUGAAGAAGAAGCACCGGCUAACUACGUG
rnacentral:rRNA from 1 species